GUAGGUAGCUUAUACCCUGCCCUCUUGCUUUGCCACUGAAUGCAGGUCUUGCAACAAGAUAUAAUACAUCUCCCAUGCCAAAUAAAGAGAAUAUGUUCCAGUAUUGGAAAACUAUUUGUAAACCCGUUUUCAACAAGAUUAAAUUUGCUGUUAUCCUGCAAAUUGCAUUUGGCACAUAUCUAAGCUCAAAACAUCAUGAAAUAUAUCUGAAGAUGCUCCAGAUGCCUGAACCUGGAAGGGAUACUGAAGAACUCAAAGAAUAAAACUUGAAAUUGCAGUAAUUUA